AUGAUUGAGGGGGAUGAGAAGUGGAGGUUGACUGGGAUCUAUGGUGAACCGAAUUGGGAUUGGAAAGAGAGGACAUGGACGAACUUACGUGACCUGCAUGAACUCUACAAAAUUCCAUGGCCCGUGUUGGGGGAUUUUAGUGAAAUACUCUUCAAUUCGGAGAAGGAAGGAGGUAAUCUAAGACCUGUGAGAUUUAUGCAGGAAUUCCAGAAUUGUUUAGAUCACUGUGGUUUGGGUGACAUGGAAUAUGUGGGUGAUAAAUUUACUUGGAGAAGGGGGAAGAUUAGAGAAAGACUUGACAGAUCUGCGUGUUCGUCCGAAUGGAGGAACCUUUUCCCUUUUGCCGCGCUGAUCAAUGAGAGCAUGACAAAAUCAGAUCAUCGUCCUAUUAUGGUGGAUACUGAUUACUACAAGUCAGAUGUGACGCAGAGUAACCAAACUACAAAGCGAUUUACCGAAAAAGGGUUUCCCCCGCUUUGUAUACAAAGCAAUCAACCGAUACAUCCAACGAUAGGUGCUGGGGCGAAAGCAGCACAGUCAUGCCCAAAAGAAAAGCAAGAGAAAGUUGAAGAGAAAAGAAUGCCAACAACGACGGAUCAACGAAAACGAUGA
rnacentral:rRNA from 1 species